rnacentral:rRNA from 1 species
UACAGAGGGGGCAAGCGUUGUUCGGAAUUACUGGGCGUAAAGGGCGCGUAGGCGGCCUGUUAAGUCGAACGUGAAAUCCCCGGGCUCAACCCGGGAACUGCGUCCGAUACUGGCAGGCUUGAAUUCGGGAGAGGGAUGCGGAAUUCCAGGUGUAGCGGUGAAAUGCGUAGAUAUCUGGAGGAACACCGGUGGCGAAGGCGGCAUCCUGGACCGAAAUUGACGCUGAGGCGCGAAAGCGUGGGGAGCAAACAGG